AACGAACGCUGGCGGCACGCUUCAUACAUGCAAGUCGCGCGAUUAAGGCCCGCAAGGGCGCAUAAAGCGGCGAACGGGUGCGUAACACGUGGAUAAUCUGCCUUUCGGUGGGGGAUAACGGCUGGAAACGGCCGCUAAUACCGCAUGUGGUUGCGAGGUCUUCGGGCCUUGCAAAGAAAGAGGCCUUUAAAGCCUUGCCGAGAGAUGAGUCCGCGCCCCAUUAGCUAGUUGGCGGGAUAACAGCCCACCAAGGCUUCGAUGGGUAGCCGAGCUGAGAGGUUGAUCGGCCACACUGGGACUGAGACACGGCCCAGACACCUACGGGUGGCAGCAGUAGGGAAUAUUGGACAAUGGGGGAAACCCUGAUCCAGCAAUGCCGCGUGAGUGAUGAAGGCCUUAGGGUUGUAAAGCUCUUUUACCCGAGAUGAUAAUGACAGUAUCGGGAGAAUAAGCUCCGGCUAACUCCGUG
rnacentral:rRNA from 1 species